GUCGAACGGCAGCACGGGUGCUUGCACCUGGUGGCGAGUGGCGAACGGGUGAGUAAUGCGUCGGAACGUACCGAGUAAUGGGGGAUAACGCAGCGAAAGUUGUGCUAAUACCGCAUACGCCCUGAGGGGGAAAGUGGGGGAUCGCAAGACCUCACGUUAUUCGAGCGGCCGACGUCUGAUUAGCUAGUUGGUGGGGUAAAGGCCUACCAAGGCGACGAUCAGUAGCGGGUCUGAGAGGAUGAUCCGCCACACUGGGACUGAGACACGGUCCAGACUCCUACGGGAGGCAGCAGUGAGGAAUAUUGCACAAUGGAGGAAACUCUGAUGCAGCAACGCCGCGUGGAGGAUGACGCAUUUCGGUGUGUAAACUCCUUUUAUUAGGGAAGAUAAUGACGGUACCUAAUGAAUAAGCACCGGCUAACUCCGUGCCAGCAGCCGCGGUAAUACGGAGGGUGCAAGCGUUACUCGGAAUCACUGGGCGUAAAGGGUGCGUAGGCUGGCUUUUAAGUCAGGUGUGAAAUCCAAUGGCUCAACCAUUGAACUGCACUUGAAACUGAAAGCCUAGAGUUCAGAAGGGGCAGAUGGAAUUAGUGGUGUAGGGGUAAAAUCCGUAGAUAUCACUAGGAAUAUCAAAAGCGAAGGCGAUCUGCUGGGAUGAUACUGACGCUGAGGCACGAAAGCGUGGGGAGCAAACAGGAUUAGAUA
rnacentral:rRNA from 1 species